rnacentral:rRNA from 1 species
AACGAACGCUGGCGGCAGGCUUAACACAUGCAAGUCGAACGCCCCGCAAGGGGAGUGGCAGACGGGUGAGUAACGCGUGGGAACAUACCCUUUUCUACGGAAUAGCUCUGGGAAACUGGAAUUAAUACCGUAUACGCCCUACGGGGGAAAGAUUUAUCGGGGAAGGAUUGGCCCGCGUUGGAUUAGCUAGUUGGUGGGGUAAAGGCCUACCAAGGCGACGAUCCAUAGCUGGUCUGAGAGGAUGAUCAGCCACAUUGGGACUGAGACACGGCCCAAACUCCUACGGGAGGCAGCAGUGGGGUAUAUUGGACAAUGGGCGCAAGCCUGAUCCAGCCAUGCCGCGUGAGUGAUGAAGGCCUUAGGGUUGUAAAGCUCUUUCACCGAUGAAGAUAAUGACGGUAGUCGGAGAAGAAGCCCCGGCUAACUUCGUGCCAGCAGCCGCGGUAA